UCGGUUUAUAUUCUAAGUGUCGUCUUUGCUUUAAAGAUGUUAUCGUUCAUACAAAAUAAAGCUUAGUCAUAGCUGCCUUUCUAAAACAGUGGUCAUCUUUGGAUUUGAGGAACAACCAUAAAUAAAAAAAAAUUAUAGGCUGUAAAAUUACAUAGGGUAAAUAAAUAUGGAAAUCAACUUGAUGUGUAUCGAUAACUCCUGUUUAAAGAAGGAACGGAGAAGUAAACUGCGUGUGAAUUAACGUUUUUCUCUUUCACGAUAUAAUUUCCAUUUUACGAAUCGUUUCCGUUUGUGUUUAAGAUUAUUCAAUGAAGAUUGGCGUUUUAUAUUAAUAUCCGGGAAAAGGAGACUCUAUCAGCCACUUAAAUAAUCAGGAGACAAAGAACUCUAAAUGGUCACUAAAGAUGUUAGAUAUAACAACCAACAUUCCCUCAAAUCAUACCCUAGUAAUUUGUGAAACGAAGGAUACAUUAGACAAAGUGAUUCUGUAAAUUCGUACAAUGACAAUCUGGACUUGAGCCUUUCAUUUCACGAUUAGUACUGAUCUGGAGUUAAACAACAAUCAGUAUUUAUCAUCACCCUGACCACAAAUAAGGACGGAUGCUAUGAUGUUAAAAAAAAAAAAUCAAUUAUCUGAAUCGAUGACCUCACCUUUAAUAACUGGAAUCUAAGGGAAACAACUAUUAACACCUGACUAGUUGGAGUCGCAUUUCUUUUGCUCAAUUCUAAAUCAGAAAAUACUUCUUUUCUUCGACCUGGAGGUGGAAACGGUAAUUGCGAUAUCAAAAGUUGGACUUGUUGCCUUACGACACCCAAUCCUCUGAACGAGGUCACAACUAAAUUAUUAUCUAACAUCUAUUUACGGAUAUGAAGCUAAAUAAACAUACUAACACUUUCAAAAGCUGGUCGAAGUAUUCUACACGCCUAAUAGUAAUAACUAUGGCAAUAAAAUGUUUUAAAAUA
rnacentral:lncRNA from 1 species